AGUGAACGCUGGCGGUAGGCCUAACACAUGCAAGUCGAACGGCAGCACAGUAAGAGCUUGCUCUUACGGGUGGCGAGUGGCGGACGGGUGAGGAAUACAUCGGAAUCUACUUUUUCGUGGGGGAUAACGUAGGGAAACUUACGCUAAUACCGCAUACGACCUACGGGUGAAAGCAGGGGAUCUUCGGACCUUGCGCGAUUGAAUGAGCCGAUGUCGGAUUAGCUAGUUGGCGGGGUAAAGGCCCACCAAGGCGACGAUCCGUAGCUGGUCUGAGAGGAUGAUCAGCCACACUGGAACUGAGACACGGUCCAGACCCUACGGGAGGCAGCAGUGGGGAAUAUUGGACAAUGGGCGCAAGCCUGAUCCAGCCAUACCGCGUGGGUGAAGAAGGCCUUCGGGUUGUAAAGCCCUUUUGUUGGGAAAGAAAAGCAGCAGGUUAAUACCCCGCUGUUCUGACGGUACCCAAAGAAUAAGCACCGGCUAACUUCGUG
rnacentral:rRNA from 1 species